UACAGAGGUCUCAAGCGUUGUUCGGAUUCAUUGGGCGUAAAGGGUGUGUAGGUGGCGCGCUAAGUCGGGUGUGAAAUUUCGGAGCUUAACUCCGAAACUGCAUUCGAUACUGGCGUGCUUGAGGACUGGAGAGGAAACUGGAAUUUACGGUGUAGCAGUGAAAUGCGUAGAUAUCGUAAGGAAGACCAGUGGCGAAGGCGGGUCUCUGGACAGUUCCUGACACUGAGACACGAAGGCCAGGGGAGCAAACGGG
rnacentral:rRNA from 1 species